rnacentral:lncRNA from 1 species
GCAAUUUUGAACCAGCUAAACACCAAUGAGUUACUAUAAAUUCGUAGAUUUAACCAAGGUUUGUCUCUUGACAUGUCUGUUAUGUGCCAUAAGGGAGAGGAAACACAUAAUCAUCUCUUUCUUCAUUGUGAGAUAGUAUGUAAGUUAUGGAUCAGGCUUUUUACACUUUUAACUUAGCAUGGGUUAUUCCUUCAUCUUUGGAAUUUUUCAUCAACACUAAUAUUGGUGGUUUCGAGAUUAGGGAAAAUGCCAUACCACCGUCAGAAGGAGGUUGUUUUCUAGUCUUUAGACUAUCUAGAUAAAGAAAUCAAUAGGUACUUGAUAACCAAUCUUUGCAGGAUAAUUUUAUUUGGGAAAAGAUGAACUUUCUAGCUUCCCUUUGGGCCAAGACUCAUGGGAAAUAUUCUAACGUCUCCCUUACUGUCGUUUAUAGGAGCUGGGAUGCUAUAGUCACUGGAUAUUUACCUCUUUUCUUUUAUCUACCUUUACUUUUUGUUUUGUUCUUUUUUCCUUUGCUUCAAGUAGAUAACUUACCUGCUGUUCUCUUUGUAGUGUUUUCCUCAUUUUCUCAACAAAAACUUCUUUAUGGUGCCAUAUUUUUUUUUAAUAAACAAAGAAGUUUUCAUCUUCCAGAUCAUACUCGAUUGGAAACUUUUCACUAGCCCUCUCUCUUCUGGUCAAGUAGAAAUAGAACGGCUUGACAGAAAAAUCUCCUUUUUAUUGAGGCUCCAUACGGAAAUGUUUUCAGACCCAUUAGGAAUCAUCACCUGCUAUAAAGAGUUGAGAAGUUUCUAUAGUUAUUAACUUCCUAAUCAUUUUAGGAUCCUGGCUAACACAAUCGACCAAUCUCCCAUGCCUUUGGAUUCCCUGUAGGAAUCUUUAACUGAGAUAUUUUUUAUUUUCUGUGACAGUAACAAUAGAGGGAAACUGCAUAAAGAGAUUGCACCUUCCAACCACUAGUCCUAUUAGAAUCUAAGCCUCUCCCGACCUGACUCUCCAUUUAAUGUACUUAUGAAAAGGCUCUUUCUCCAUGUUGAUUUUCUUCCAUGCAACUCAAUGUGGCUUCUUCGGCUCCUUAACAUACCAACUAGAGUUGUCUAAACCCUUGAUCAUCUUUCUCCACACUCCCUCCUUCACCCAUGAAUCUCCAAGACCAUUUGCCUUGAAGGCUAUAUUGAAUUUUACCAAGAAUCUUGCUCCCAACCCUCCCUCUUGAAUCGAUUGUUUCACCACAUUCUUGGCCAUUGCAUUAGUUAAGUGUCCUAGUCAUAUUGUUAAAAUAUAGCAAACUAAAAAGUGUUGCCCUCUCGUCUUUCUCUCUGUUUAAUCUCUUUUUAGCUUUCACCUCCAUAUCUGGCUUGUGGCCAGUAGGAAGGAAUGCAUAAGAGAGCUGGAAUUUGGCUUACUAAUUUGGUCCUCAUUGAGGACAUUGCUUGAGAGCAGAGAUUAAGAUCUCUUUAGAUAGUGUUAGAAAUACAAGGCUUUCACCACAGUCUUGCUGCUCAUUGCAAGAGGUGCAACUUUGUGGAUUGGAUGGAAGUGAUAAAGUAGGUCUAUGAAGAUGAUAAUUGGUCAAAGCAAGCUGCGAAAGAUUUUUGAAUGAGGUGUGGAGGCUUGACCUUGACCAUUUGGAUUUUGUUUUCUUGGAGUGAGGAGGUACAGAUUACAUUAAGAGACCUUUUCUGAAGACGAAGUUUUUUCUGCUUUGAUGAGUUGUAAGGAUGACAAAGCUCUAGAUGUGAUGACUUUUCCAUGGCUUUCUCUUAGACCAAUAGUGAAGAGGUGAAAAGGAUCCUU